GACGAGGGGUCCUAGCGUUGUUCGGAAUCACUGGGCGUAAAGCGUACGUAGGCGGCUCUCUAAGUCGGUCGUGAAAUCCCAUGGCUUAACCAUGGAAUUGCGUUCAAAACUGGAGAGCUUGAGUGUGGGAGAGAUUGGUAGAAUACCUGGUGUAGCGGUGGAAUGCGCAGAUAUCAGGAGGAACACCAAUAGCGAAGGCAGCUCGCUGGGACGUUACUGACACUGAGGCGCGAAAGCGUGGGGAGCGAACAGG
rnacentral:rRNA from 1 species